GAGUUUGAUCGUGGCUCAGAUUGAACGCUGGCGGCAUGCCUUACACAUGCAAGUCGAACGGCAGCACGGGAGCUUGCUCCUGGUGGGCGAGUGGCGAACGGGUGAGUAAUGCAUCGGAACGUAUCCUGGAGUGGGGGAUAACGUAGCGAAAGUUACGCUAAUACCGCAUAUUCUGUGAGCAGGAAAGCGGGGGACCUUCAGGCCUCGCGCUCUUGGAGCGGCCGAUGUCGGAUUAGCUAGUUGGUGAGGUAAAGGCUCACCAAGGCGACGAUCCGUAGCAGGUCUGAGAGGAUGAUCUGCCACACUGGAACUGAGACACGGUCCAGACUCCUACGGGAGGCAGCAGUGGGAAUUUUGGACAAUGGGGGCAACCCUGAUCCAGCCAUGCCGCGUGAGUGAAGAAGGCCUCGG
rnacentral:rRNA from 1 species